UAUUUAUAGCAGUCAUUGGAUCGCCUUCCUCUCCACAUGAAUGACUGCUCUGAAGCAUAGCCAUAGUGGUCGGCCUUAUGUAAUGCACAAGUUUAAGCCACUCCUACUCACGGUACAGGAAGAGAACUGAAAGAGCGCAAACGUCUCACAUCUGGAGCUCUAUAUUCACUUCUACAUCUCACAGAAGAACCAGCAGCUGGCAAAAGGACCGCUGGGUAAUGGCUGCUCCCAGGACUUACCUCUCGCUUGCCGUCUGUCUUUUUCUGGGACAUCAAACUGUUGCCGUAAGCGAUGCUCCCUGCCAGCUCUCCACUUGGAAAAAAGGCUUCAAAACCUUCAUGGAUCGCCACGUUCGCAAUGGAACUCCUACGACCCUUGAUCGAAAUGAGUGGUUGAAUUACAUUAAGAAUAUCGGGGACUGUAGCAGACCCACACAGUCCUUCCUUGAUCCAAAGGAACUGAAGAGGGUGAAGGCCGUGUGCUCAAAGAAUGGAGGAAAGACGUACAAGGAUAACCUGUGCAUCAGCCAGCAGCCUUUCACCUUUGUCACAGUGAGAAGUGAGAAGGGCACCUGUGGGAUCAAAAGUGUCCAAAAGGAAACCAAACACCUGAUCCUGGCCUGUGAAGUGUUGGACAACGAGUGUUUGCCGGUCCAUUUUGAGGGAAACCCCACGAACCUGAAGCCUGAUAACAACGCCAGAGCCUGCCAGGACCCCAGGAUAAGCCAUGCUCCCAGCUUGAAAAUGACAUGGCUCUGGUUGUUGUUUACUUUGUUAUUCCUUAUAAGCUUUUUUUAAAUCGAUUAAUUAAAUGUUAUGGAUUUGUUUUGUUUUGUUUUUUUGUUUUUUAUCUGAAGGCAUUUCAAUUCAGUUCACAUUUCAGUCAUGAAAUUUGAUUUGGAGUUUCUGACUUCAAAGCAAUAUUAAAACAAAAAAAAUAUUGUCAAGUAUUCAGUUAUUUAAAGAUGGAUUUUUGUAACAAAUGUUGCUACUUUUUUAUGCAUGUACUGCUCAGGUGAGUCUGUCUAUGAGUUUGAUUUGAAUAAUUUGAUUGUGGACAUGGCAGACAUGGUGUGCAGGGUUUGAAUGACAACAGUGUUCUCUUGAGACUGACUCUAAUAUAAUUCAAAGAUAAAAUGCAUUAUUGGUGCUAAAUUAUGAGCCCAUAAAGAUUAAAUUUAAUUAAAAAAAAUUCUCAAAAAGCAACUGCAGGAAUUUUUCUUUCAUCUUUGUCUGACACAAACUCAACGAAUCGCCCCAAUCCAUCCACGUCUUUUAUUUUUAAUCCACCAGUAGUUAGUGAUUCAUGUUUACAAAUGAGGUAGAUGACAACCAUGUGAAAUUGUGUCUCUGGGUUUGUCUUAUUUUAACUGUUUUGCCUGCUAAUUAGGCCACAAAAGAUACAGUGAAAGUGCAGCAAUUAGACAGCAAACCCAUUCAAGCUGCACAGAAGACUCUGAUAAUAACAAUUACUUGGGUGAGCUUUGUUUGGAGCAGCUGAUAUAUUUAUUAUACAUUCAUAAGAAGAGGUCUCGUCACACCAAAAAGAUCCAGUAGUUCAGUUUCAAAAUUCAAGAAAUUAAUAUUUGCUUUCUUCUUCCUUCCAGCAAAUUAACCAAAUGGGUUUGUCGUCUGUCAGUGAUGAAAGUAUCGGUAACUCACUGUAGUGGAUCACCUAUUGCGUGCGAUGGGAAAACCACAGGAAAUAUCAUACCAUGAAGACGCGUGCACUCAAAACUCAAAUUGCUCAUCACUAUCUGACAUGCUGAAUAGUUUAACAUGCACAUGGUGGCAGUUUAACUAAAUGAAAUAAGAGUUUUCAGGUGUGGUUAAAUACGGAUGUAGUCUGAGAUUAAGAAAAAAAAUCAGUAUAUGAGCCGCUUUCAAUCACAAUCUUAACACAGCUUUGCCACGGUGCCUCUCUGGUCUCUGCUGAUUCAGAUUAGCACCCUCUGCUGGCUUCUUCUUACGAUCGACCUUCUCAAGGACAGCCUGCCAGUUUGAAAACACAAACAAGCAAAACAAAAACUAUUAAAACGAGCACAGAAACCUUAUGUGGCUACGCUGGACCGAAAGCAUUUGUAUGUGCUAUGCCUCAAGCAGAGAUGAGAAGUGGAGCCAUAGGUUUGGCAAGCUGACUUCUUUCUACCUCUUCAGGGGUUUUUUUUUAUACUUUUGAGGAUGUAGUCAGUGAAGUGACGUAUCUUAGACGCAGCUUGUUAAUGAAAAGGGAGAAAGGUGUCACAGAAAUUUAAAAUAAACAGAUUUUACACACAAAUGGGUUUUUGUGAGGUUUAAAAUUGGCUUUGUGAAGGGGUCAAACAACAGUACAGAGUGCAGUUCAGUACCAGUCGUUGCAUGGCAUUUGACAAAAAGAAAACAAGAAGAACAACAAGCACAGAAUCAUUUAUAGACAUGUUAUUUACAAGUUCCCAGAACACAGUUAGAAGAUUCAAUGCAAAAGAUAAAUAGUAGAGAUUGUUACAGUUCACUGGCACUGCUAUUUUUUGCAAGUGUGUUUGCGCAUUUGGUUAU
ensembl:lncRNA